rnacentral:misc_RNA from 1 species
GAUGAAGAACGCAGCGAAAUGCGAUAAGUAAUGUGAAUUGCAGAAUUCAGUGAAUCAUCGAAUCUUUGAACGCACCUUGCACCCUUUGGCAUUCCGAAGGGUAUGCUCGUUUGAGUGUCAAUGUACUCUCACACUCUCCGAUCCUAUGGAUUCGGGGAGCGGUGGACUUGGGUGUUGCUGCCUUUCCUUGUGGCUCACCUCAAAUGUGUCAGUGCACCUCUUGGUUGGACAUAGUACGGCGUGAUAAGUGUCUUCGCCGGCACCUCGCAAGAGGGUGGCCGAUCGGGAGCUCUGUGCUUUCAAACCGUCUUCGGACAAUUUCUGACAACUUGACCUCAAAUCGAGUAGGACUACCCGCUGAACUUAAGCAUAUCAAUAAGCGGAGGA